rnacentral:rRNA from 1 species
GAUGAACGCUGACAGAAUGCUUAACACAUGCAAGUCAACUGUGGCGGACGGGUGAGUAACGCGUAAAGAACUUGCCUCACAGCUAGGGACAACAUUUGGAAACGAAUGCUAAUACCUGAUACUGUGAGAGAGCUUUGCGUCCCAUUAGCUAGUUGGAGAGGUAACGGCUCACCAAGGCGAUGAUGGGUAGCCGGCCUGAGAGGGUGAUCGGCCAAAAGGGGACUGAGACGCGGCCCGUAUUCGUACGGGAGGCAGCAGUGGGGAAUAUUGGACAAUGGACCAAAGUCUGAACCAGCAAUUCGGUGUGCACGAGGAAGUUUUCGGAAUGUAAAGUGCUUUCAGUUGGGAAGCGGUACCAACAGAAGAAGUGACGGCUAAAUACGUGCCAGCAGCGGCGGGAAUAC